AAAGUCGUAACAAGGUCUCCGUUGGUGAACCAGCGGAGGGAUCAUUACAGAGUUACACAACUCACCAAACCAUUGUGAACCGUACCUUUACCGUUGCUUCGGCGGGAGGCGCCCCGUGCCCCUGUGGCGCGCCGGGCGUCCCCUGGCCCCCUCGCGGGGCGCCCGCCGGAGGAAUACCCAAAACCCUUUGCAGCACAUGGCCUCUCUGAGUCUUCUGUACUGAAUAAGUCAAAACUUUCAACAACGGAUCUCUUGGUUCUG
rnacentral:misc_RNA from 1 species